rnacentral:rRNA from 1 species
GAUGAACGCUGGCGGCGUGCCUAAUACAUGCAAGUCGAGCGAACAGACGAGGAGCUUGCUCCUCUGACGUUAGCGGCGGACGGGUGAGUAACACGUGGAUAACCUACCUAUAAGACUGGGAUAACUUCGGGAAACCGGAGCUAAUACCGGAUAAUAUAUUGAACCGCAUGGUUCAAUAGUGAAAGACGGUUUUGCUGUCACUUAUAGAUGGAUCCGCGCCGCAUUAGCUAGUUGGUAAGGUAACGGCUUACCAAGGCAACGAUGCGUAGCCGACCUGAGAGGGUGAUCGGCCACACUGGAAACGAGACACGGUCCAGAAUCCUACGGGAGGGAGCAGGAGGGAAUCUUCCGCAAUGGGGGAAAGGCUGAAGGAGAAAAGCCGCGUGAGUGAUGAAGGUCUUCGGAACGUAAAAAUCUGUUAAUAGGGAAGAAAAAAUGUGUAAGUAACUAUGCACGGCUUGACGGUAACUAAUCAGAAAGACACGGCUAAAUAAGGG